rnacentral:tRNA from 1 species
GGGGUUGUGGCUCAGUGGUGGAGCACAUGCCUGGCGUGUGUGAGUCACUGGGUUCGAUUCUCAACACCA